AGGACGAACGCUGGCGGCGUGCUUAACACAUGCAAGUCGAGCGGAAAGGCCCACUUGUGGGUACUCGAGCGGCGAACGGGUGAGUAACACGUGAGUAAUCUGCCCUCCACUCUGGGAUAACGUUCAGAAAUGGGUGCUAAUACCGGAUGUACACAGGCUUCUGCAUGGGGGGUUUGUGGUAAAGGUUUUUUCUGGUGGGGGAUGUGCUCGCGGCCUAUCAGCUUGUUGGUGGGGUAAUGGCCUACCAAGGCUUUGACGGGUAGCCGGCCUGAGAGGGUGACCGGCCACACUGGGACUGAGACACGGCCCAGACUCCGUACGGGGAGGCGGCAGGUGGGGAAUAGUUGGACAAGUGGGACGGAAGCCUGGAUCCGAGCCGAACGCCGCGGUGGAGGGAUGGACGGCCGUUUCGGGUUCGUAAACCCUC
rnacentral:rRNA from 1 species